rnacentral:lncRNA from 1 species
UAAGCAUUACAAUGCUUAGUAAGUUUUAAGCAGUGUCAACAGAUAACAAUCAAAUUAUAACAUAGUUAUUCGUAUUUUUAUUUCACUCUUCCUUCGGGCAUACCAUCCCUUUACCGAAUAUGCACAUCUCAUCAUAUACAAUAGGCAAAUAAACUUUCACAUAAAAGUGAGCUCAUGUGACAUAGAUAUAUCGUAUGAUUUCACAUCACCUCUCACACUGAUUCGAUGUCACAUAAUCAUAGGAAUAGUCUCAUAGAUUGCUCUCGUAUGCAUCACAUAACUACCUUAUGAUUUAGUGCAAAUCAAGCUCACAUAUAAACUUGGAGUACAUACCUGUUUAACCUUUCGCAUUGAAU